UGCGAUAAAGUAGCCUCAUCAGUAAGUAAGUCUUCUGCAUGUGAGCCGAUUAUAUCUGCGCUGGUUUCUGGUACAUGGGAUCAGGUGGCUUUGCUGGCUUCAUCUGACCCAUCACAGCGUUUAAGAAUCCACGCAAUGGCUCUUCUUGUAAACUAUGUACCAUUCUCUGAAAGACGCAACUUGCAAUCACUUCUUGCAGCAGCUGAUACAGUUCUACAGUGUUUGACAAAACUAUCACAACCAACCUGUGAAGGACCAUUAGCGCAACUUUCUAUUAUACUUUUUGCCAGUAUUUGCCUAUACUCUCCAGUUGAAGAUAUUUCACUUAUUCCUGAAAAUAUUUGGAGCGGUAUUGAAAGUUUUGCAUUAGGAGGAAAUGAAAGAUUUCCUGUCGGACUUGAGAAAAGAACUUGCCAAGCUUUAUGUAGACUGAGAAAUGAAGGGGAUGAGGCUAAAGAGAUGUUGAAAGAAGCUCUCUCUUCAAAUUCCCAGCAGCAAAUGGAUCCAGAUUUUGGUCAUACACGCGAAACAAUCCUUCAGGUCAUAUCUGAUUUGUCCACAGUCAACUCAUACUUAGACUUUUUCUCAAAGGAAUGCCACGAAAAAGUUCUGGAAUUGGAGGAGGCUGAGAUUGAAAUGGAACUUCUUCAGAAGGAAAAAACAAUGCAGGAAUUAUCAGCUGAAUUUAAAGAUUUGCAUCAGCUUCCAUUCCUAACUGAUUCGGCAAGGCAAGAUAACCGCUUGCAGCAAAUCAAAGAGGAAAUCAAAUCCUUAGAAAAGGCCAAACUCAAAGAGGAGGUUGUAGCACGCAG
rnacentral:misc_RNA from 1 species